rnacentral:rRNA from 1 species
GAUGAACGCUAGCGGCAGGCUUAACACAUGCAAGUCGAGGGGCAGCGGGUAUGUUAGCAAUAACAUAUGCCGGCGACCGGCGCAAGGGUGCGUAACGCGUGAGUAACAUGCCCGUAUCAGGAGGAUAACCCGGAGAAAUCCGGACUAAUACUGCAUAAUAUUUUCAGACGGCAUCGUUUGGGAAUUAAAGUUUCGACGGAUACGGAUUGGCUCGCGUGACAUUAGCUAGAUGGAGAGGUAACGGCUCCCCAUGGCGACGAUGUCUAGGGGUUCUGAGAGGAAGGUCCCCCACACUGGAACUGAGACACGGUCCAGACUCCUACGGGAGGCAGCAGUGAGGAAUAUUGGUCAAUGGUCGAAGGACUGAACCAGCCAUGCCGCGUGAAGGUGACGGGCCCCUAAUGGGUUGUAAAACCUCUGUCCUCAGUGACGAAGAAAGUGACGGUAGCUGAGGAGGAAGCCACGGCUAACUACGUGCCAGCAGCCGCGGU